rnacentral:rRNA from 1 species
AUUGAACGCUGGCGGCAGGCCUAACACAUGCAAGUCGAGCGGGGUUUUCGGACCUAGCGGCGGACGGGUGAGUAAUGCGUAGGAAGCUACCCGAUAGAGGGGGAUACCAGUUGGAAACGACUGUUAAUACCGCAUAAUGUCUACGGACCAAAGUGUGGGACCUUCGGGCCACAUGCUAUCGGAUGCGCCUACGUGGGAUUAGCUAGUUGGUGAGGUAAUGGCUCACCAAGGCGACGAUCCCUAGCUGGUUUGAGAGGAUGAUCAGCCACACUGGAACUGAGACACGGUCCAGACUCCUACGGGAGGCAGCAGUGGGGAAUAUUGGACAAUGGGCGCAAGCCUGAUCCAGCCAUGCCGCGUGUGAAGAAGGCCUUCGGGUUGUAAAGCACUUUCAGUAGGGAGGAAGCGUUGUGCGUUAAUAGUACACAGCGUUGACGUUACCUACAGAAGAAGCACCGGCUAACUCUGUGCCAGCAGCCGCGGUAAGAC